CAAAUUGAGAGUUUGAUCCUGGCUCAGGAUGAACGCUGGCGGCGUGCCUAAUACAUGCAAGUCGAACGCUUUGUGGUUCAACUGAUUUGAAGAGCUUGCUCAGAUAUGACGAUGGACAUUGCAAAGAGUGGCGAACGGGUGAGUAACACGUGGGAAACCUACCUCUUAGCAGGGGAUAACAUUUGGAAACAGAUGCUAAUACCGUAUAACAAUGACAACCGCAUGGUUGUUAUUUAAAAGAUGGUUCUGCUAUCACUAAGAGAUGGUCCCGCGGUGCAUUAGCUAGUUGGUAAGGUAAUGGCUUACCAAGGCGAUGAUGCAUAGCCGAGUUGAGAGACUGAUCGGCCACAAUGGGACUGAGACACGGCCCAUACUCCUACGGGAGGCAGCAGUAGGGAAUCUUCCACAAUGGGCGAAAGCCUGAUGGAGCAACGCCGCGUGUGUGAUGAAGGGUUUCGGCUCGUAAAACACUGUUGUAAGAGAAGAAUGACAUUGAGAGUAACUAUUCAAUGUGUGACGGUAUCUUACCAGAAAGGAACGGCUAAAUACGUGCCAGCAGCCGCGGUAAUACGUAUGUUCCAAGCGUUAUCCGGAUUUAUUGGGCGUAAAGCGAGCGCAGACGGUUAUUUAAGUCUGAAGUGAAAGCCCUCAGCUCAACUGAGGAAUUGCUUUGGAAACUGGAUGACUUGAGUGCAGUAGAGGAAAGUGGAACUCCAUGUGUAGCGGUGAAAUGCGUAGAUAUAUGGAAGAACACCAGUGGCGAAGGCGGCUUUCUGGACUGUAACUGACGUUGAGGCUCGAAAGUGUGGGUAGCAAACAGGAUUAGAUACCCUGGUAGUCCACACCGUAAACGAUGAGUGCUAGGUGUUUGAGGGUUUCCGCCCUUAAGUGCCGCAGCUAACGCAUUAAGCACUCCGCCUGGGGAGUACGACCGCAAGGUUGAAACUCAAAGGAAUUGACGGGGACCCGCACAAGCGGUGGAGCAUGUGGUUUAAUUCGAAGCAACGCGAAGAACCUUACCAGGUCUUGACAUCCCUUGACAACUCCAGAGAUGGAGCGUUCCCUUCGGGGACAAGGUGACAGGUGGUGCAUGGUUGUCGUCAGCUCGUGUCGUGAGAUGUUGGGUUAAGUCCCGCAACGAGCGCAACCCUUAUUACUAGUUGCCAGCAUUUAGUUGGGCACUCUAGUGAGACUGCCGGUGACAAACCGGAGGAAGGUGGGGAUGACGUCAAAUCAUCAUGCCCCUUAUGACCUGGGCUACACACGUGCUACAAUGGCGUAUACAACGAGUUGCCAACCCGCGAGGGUGAGCUAAUCUCUUAAAGUACGUCUCAGUUCGGAUUGUAGGCUGCAACUCGCCUACAUGAAGUCGGAAUCGCUAGUAAUCGCGGAUCAGCACGCCGCGGUGAAUACGUUCCCGGGUCUUGUACACACCGCCCGUCACACCAUGAGAGUUUGUAACACCCAAAGCCGGUGGGGUAACCUUCGGGAGCCAGCCGUCUAAGGUGGGACAGAUGAUUAGGGUGAAGUCGUAACAAGGUAGCCGUAGGAGAACCUGCGGCUGGAUCACCUCCUUU
rnacentral:rRNA from 1 species